AUGGCGGGUAUCGACUUGUCUGGAAACUUUCUAUCACAGGAGAUCCCGAAAGGGCUCACAACCCUUGUUGGACUCAGGUACCUGAACUUAUCAGGAAAUCAUCUGUCAGGCUAUAUUCCUGAAGACAUUGGCAAUCUGGUACUGCUGGAAUCCUUGGACCUUUCUCGGAACCAACUUAGGGGAGAAAUUCCUCAAGGCUUUGCAGAUUUGAGGAGCAUAAGCGCUCUGAACCUCUCAACCAACAUGUUAUCAGGGAGGAUACCUAUGGGUGAUCAGCUGCGGACACUCGUUGACCAGUCAAUAUACAGCAAUAAUCCUGGGCUAUGCGGGUUUCCGUUGGAAGACUGCAAAAACUCGCCGACACCGACACAAACUGAAACAAGCCUGGAUGAAGAUAAAGAGACAUUGUGGUUGUAUUGCUUCGUGGCUGCUGGGUUCAUCUUUGGGUUCUGGCUGUACUGGGGCAUCUUCUUAUUUCGCGGCGAGACAUGGAGGUAUUUAUUCUAUCAGUAUGUGGACAACAUGCAAGGCAAGGUAACCAAGAAAGUAUACAGCUGCAUUUCACGCUUCCAGGUCAAAGGGCCUGAAUGA
rnacentral:rRNA from 1 species